rnacentral:rRNA from 1 species
AUUGAACGCUGGCGGCAUGCCUUACACAUGCAAGUCGAACGGCAGCGGGGACUUCGGUCCGCCGGCGAGUGGCGAACGGGUGAGUAAUGUAUCGGAACGUACCAUUGAGUGGGGGAUAACGUAGCGAAAGUUACGCUAAUACCGCAUAUUCUCUCCGGAGGAAAGCAGGGGACCGCAAGGCCUUGCGCUCUUUGAGCGGCCGCUAUCAGAUUAGCUAGUUGGUGAGGUAAAGGCUCACCACGGCGACGAUCUGUAGCGGGUCUGAGAGGAUGAUCCGCCACACUGGAACUGAGACACGGUCCAGACUCCUACGGGAAGCAGCAGUGGGGAAUUUUGGACAAUGGGGGCAACCCUGAUCCAGCCAUGCCGCGUGAGUGAAGAAGGCCUUCGGGUUGUAAAGCUCUUUCGGCCGGGAAAAAAUCGCAUGGGCUAAUACCCUGUGUGGAUGAUGGUACCGGAAUAAGAAGCACCGGCUAACUACGUGCCAGCCGCCGCGGUAA